rnacentral:rRNA from 1 species
GGGCAUGGCGGCAGCUACACAUGCAGUCGAGCGGCAGCGACUUAACUGAACCUUCGGGGAACGUUAAGGGCGGCGAGCGGCGGACGGGUGAGUAAUGCCUGGGAAUAUGCCCUGAUGUGGGGGAUAACUAUUGGAAACGAUAGCUAAUACCGCAUAAUCUCUUCGGAGCAAAGAGGGGGACCUUCGGGCCUCUCGCGUCAGGAUUAGCCCAGGUGGGAUUAGCUUGUUGGUGAGGUAAUGGCUCACCAAGGCAACGAUCCCUAGCUGGUCUGAGAGGAUGAUCAGCCACACUGGAACUGAGACACGGUCCAGACUCCUACGGGAGGCAGCAGUGGGGAAUAUUGCACAAUGGGGGAAACCCUGAUGCAGCCAUGCCGCGUGUAUGAAGAAGGCCUUCGGGUUGUAAAGUACUUUCAGUAGGGAGGAAGGCAGUGUCGUUAAUAGCGGCAUUGUUUGACGUUACCUACAGAAGAAGCACCGGCUAACUCCGUGCCAGCAGCCGCGGUAAUACGGAGGGUGCGAGCGUUAAUCGGAAUUACUGGGCGUAAAGCGCAUGCAGGCGGUCUGUUAAGCAAGAUGUGAAAGCCCGGGGCUCAACCUCGGAACAGCAUUUUGAACUGGCAGACUAGAGUCUUGUAGAGGGGGGUAGAAUUUCAGGUGUAGCGGUGAAAUGCGUAGAGAUCUGAAGGAAUACCGGUGGCGAAGGCGGCCCCCUGGACAAAGACUGACGCUCAGAUGCGAAAGCGUGGGGAGCAAACAGGAUUAGAUACCCUGGUAGUCCACGCCGUAAACGAUGUCUACUUGGAGGUUGUGGCCUUGAGCCGUGGCUUUCGGAGCUAACGCGUUAAGUAGACCGCCUGGGGAGUACGGUCGCAAGAUUAAAACUCAAAUGAAUUGACGGGGGCCCGCACAAGCGGUGGAGCAUGUGGUUUAAUUCGAUGCAACGCGAGAACCUUACCUACUCUUGACAUCCAGAGAACUUAGCAGAGAUGCAUUGGUGCCUUCGGGACUCUGAGACAGGUGCUGCAUGACUGUCGUCAGCUCGUGUUGUGAAAUGUGGUAGUCCCGCACGAGCGCACCCUUAUCGUGUUUGCAGCACGUCAUGUUGACUCCAGGAGACUGGCGGGGAAUAAACGGAGUAGGUGGGAACCACGUUCAGUCAUCAUGCCUUACGAGUAGGCUACACAACCGUGCUCCUACAAUUGGGCCG